GCCUUCCAAACCCCUUGCCUAUCAGCUCUAACACUGGUCUGAUGGUUACAGAAGGAAGAAAAGUACAUUUGAAGCAGCCUUCAAUUCUUGUGUGACACACAAGCUAAUUCAAACAAAA
rnacentral:snoRNA from 1 species